rnacentral:rRNA from 1 species
UCUACGGGAGGCAGCAGUGGGGAAUUUUGGACAAUGGGGGCAACCCUGAUCCAGCCAUGCCGCGUGAGUGAAGAAGGCCUUCGGGUUGUAAAGCUCUUUCGGCCGGGAAGAAAUCGUGGUCUCUAACAUAGGCCAUGGAUGACGGUACCGGACUAAGAAGCACCGGCUAACUACGUGCCAGCAGCCGCGGUAAUACGUAGGGUGCGAGCGUUAAUCGGAAUUACUGGGCGUAAAGCGUGCGCAGGCGGUUUUGUAAGACAGAUGUGAAAUCCCCGGGCUCAACCUGGGAACUGCGUUUGUGACUGCAAGGCUAGAGUACGGCAGAGGGGGGUGGAAUUCCACGUGUAGCAGUGAAAUGCGUAGAGAUGUGGAGGAACACCGAUGGCGAAGGCAGCCCCCUGGGCCUGUACUGACGCUCAUGCACGAAAGCGUGGGGAGCAAACAGGAUUAGAUACCCUGGUAGUCCACGCCCUAAACGAUGUCGACUAGUCGUUCGGAGCAGCAAUGCACUGAGUGACGCAGCUAACGCGUGAAGUCGACCGCCUGGGGAGUACGGCCGCAAGGUUAAAACUCAAAGGAAUUGACGGA